rnacentral:pre_miRNA from 1 species
AGUGGCAUGUGAUGUUCUCUACGUAUCCAUAGUAACGACGAGAACAGUGGAUGUCAUUGA